ACUGACUAACUCGGCCACCAGAGGGCGACGAACACGUGCUGGAGAAACAGACUGAAGAUAAACUGGCCUGUUUCCUGUGCUGAAAGCAGCAGUUUGCAUGCAGGCAUGAACUGAAACAAAUGCCACGCCCACAGUGACAUCUGACUCUCCUUCUGCUUCCUGAUUGGCUGACGUACCUUUAAAUAGAAGCUGUGCUGUAUUUACUGUUAUUAGCUGUUUCCAGGGUGACGCCUGAAAGCUGCAGACUUUAUUUGGCUUCCUGUGAACCAGUCUGAGCCCAAACCCUGCAGGAAAAACAAACAGGAAGCCACCAUCAGUGGAGCAGGAGCAGGAGGAGCAGGAGGAGGAGACCUCUGACCUCACCGCCUCUGCCUCUGACAGCUGUCAGCUCGCCUCAGUCCGUCAGUCGUCUGUCAGCUCACCGGAGAGAAAAUCAAUGCUUUAGCAGAAGUUUGUCUUCAGCUGGAAGCGACACCAU
rnacentral:lncRNA from 1 species